GCUCCUGUGGCCUAGUGGUUAUAGUAUUCGCCUCGGGUACGUGAGGUUGUGGGUUCGAUCCCCGGUUGAGUCA